rnacentral:rRNA from 1 species
CGAUGGAGGGGGAUAACUACUGGAAACGGUAGCUAAUACCGCAUAACGUCGCAAGACCAAAGAGGGGGACCUUCGGGCCUCUUGCCAUCGGAUGUGCCCAGAUGGGAUUAGCUAGUAGGUGGGGUAACGGCUCACCUAGGCGACGAUCCCUAGCUGGUCUGAGAGGAUGACCAGCCACACUGGAACUGAGACACGGUCCAGACUCCUACGGGAGGCAGCAGUGGGGAAUAUUGCACAAUGGGCGCAAGCCUGAUGCAGCCAUGCCGCGUGUAUGAAGAAGGCCUUCGGGUUGUAAAGUACUUUCAGCGAGGAGGAAGGUGUUGUGGUUAAUAACCGCAGCAAUUGACGUUACUCGCAGAAGAAGCACCGGCUAACUCCGUGCCAGCAGCCGCGGUAAUACGGAGGGUGCAAGCGUUAAUCGGAAUUACUGGGCGUAAAGCGCACGCAGGCGGUCUGUCAAGUCGGAUGUGAAAUCCCCGGGCUCAACCUGGGAACUGCAUCCGAAACUGGCAGGCUAGAGUCUUGUAGAGGGGGGUAGAAUUCCAGGUGUAGCGGUGAAAUGCGUAGAGAUCUGGAGGAAUACCGGUGGCGAAGGCGGCCCCCUGGACAAAGACUGACG